GACGAACCGUGCGAACGUUGUUCGGAAUCACUGGGCUUAAAGGGCGCGUAGGCGGGCUGCCAAGUCCGGGGUGAAAUCUUUCGGCUCAACCGGAAAAUAGCCUCGGAGACUGGCGGUCUGGAGGGGGGUAGGGGCAGCUGGAACUUCCGGUGGAGCGGUGAAAUGCGUUGAUAUCGGAAGGAACGCCGGUGGCGAAAGCGAGCUGCUGGACCUUUUCUGACGCUGAGGCGCGAAAGCGUGGGGAGCGAACAGG
rnacentral:rRNA from 1 species